AUGCAACCGUUGGGGCCGACCAAGCCGCGAGCACGUAUUGGCAACACAUCAAGGAGUACUUCAAUGAGCGCAACACUAGCGACCACUUCCGAUCAAGGGACUCUUCGUCAACGUUGGGGCACCAUCAACGCCAAAUGUCAAAAGUGGGCCGGUUGCUUGGAAAAUGUUGAUCGCAUGAGCCCGAGUGGUUGCGAAAUUGAUUGCGCAAAGAUUAUUUCGAGAGAGGAACAACAAAGGAGAGAAGAGGAAGGAGAAAGAAAGAGCUUUCACUUUCCAUCAUUGCUUCAAAGAGCUCAAGAUGAGGAGAAGUGGAAAACUAGAGAAGCUUUUUAUGCUUCGAAGAAGAAAAGUGUGGUGGUGGAGGAUGAAGAAGAUGGCCCGGGUGAGGAGAGAAGGAGCCCAACUCCUCACUCGGCGACUAAAUCAUAUAGGCCUGAUGGAACUAAGAAAGUGAAGGGAUCAAAGGUCAGAGAGAAUGAUCGCAAGGAAGGAUUUGAUGCCAUUUUCAUGGCGAGGAAAGAGUAUGCCAGAGAAAAAAUGUUGAAGCUCAAAGAAAUGGAAGAGAGGGGUGAAGCCGAGCGGCAGAGGGCAGCGGCCGAGGAGAAGAGGACAGCGGUUGAGGAGAGGUUGGCGGCCGUCGAGGAGAGAAAGGUUGAACUAGAGGAGAGAAAGGUGGCGGCCGAGGAGAUGAAGAUGGUCGAGGAGAAGGCACUCAAGUUUAUGUUCAUGGAUGCAUCUACUCUUGAUCCCACGGCAAAGGCGUAUGUCGAACUUUGUCGCGAUAAAAUGCUCAUGAAGAAGCAAAUGCUCAUGAGAAGCAUGAUGAUAGGAGGAAUGGGAGGUGCCAUGGGAGGAAUGGGAGGUGCCACGGAAGGAGGAAUGGGAGGUGCCAUGGGUGGAGGAAUGGGAGGUGGAAUGGGCGGUUAUAUGAACAUGAUCAGAGGUGCCAUGAAUGGUGGAUUUGGUGGAAAUAUGGGAGGUGGCUUUGGUGGCAACAUGGAUGGUGACUUCGGUGGCAUGGGUGGUGGCUUCGGCGGCAACAUGAGCGGCAUGGGAGGUGGCUUCGGCGGAAACAUGAGCAGCAUGGGAGGUGGCGAUGAAGGGGCUUCCGGUGGAGUUCGCGGCAACGAUGAAAACAUUGACAAAGAAGCCAUUGAUGAUGAUGAUCAUACACCAUCCACAAUGUUAAACCAACUUACGGACAAGCAGGAUGGAUACAAGCAGCUCCCCGGGCCCGAAAACCAUGCACGGCUGCCUCCAUUCAGGGACGUGGAAACUUUCGCCAAAGCAAGAGCAUCUCUCGUUGUUCAUGGUCGUCUGAAGCUGACCAUACACAAUUUCUUCUUCUUGUUGUCCAAGACUAUCACCGCAUGUGUUGCAUUUCGAUCACUCCACAAGGAGAAGGCCUCACUGAUCGCCGCUGCCUCCAAACACUCAGGCGACAUCAAUUUUCCAACCACCGUCGCGGAGGCUUUACCAAAGAGCCCCGUUUCCUCUCGGCAGACUGCUGCCGAUGCUGCCAAGACCACCAUCAACCUAAAACUUUAG
rnacentral:rRNA from 1 species